GGAAGUUAAGAAACUGUGUCUUAACUUUUAACUAAAAAAACUAAGAACCGGUUCUUAAAUAAGGACUUUAAGAACCGCUUCUUAACUUUUUUAGUUAAAAAUUAAGAAACAGUUUCUUAACUUCC
rfam:Brassica napus, WGS project CCCW01000000 data, contig: 6853